AACUUUUAGCAAUGGAUCUCUUGGUUCUGGCAUCGAUGAAGACCGCAGCGAAAUGCGAUCAGUAAUGUGAAUUGCAGAAUUCAGUGCAUCAUCGAAUCUUUGAACGCACAUUGCGCCCCCUGGUAUUCCGGGGGGCAUGCCUGUUCGAGCGUCAUUACAACCCUCAAGCUCUGCUUGGUAUUGGGCCCCGCCAGUUCUGGCGGGCCCUAAAGUCAGUGGCGGUGCCAGCCGGCUCCGAGCGUAGGAAUUCUUCUCGCUCUGGAGACCCGGUUGUGUGCUUGCCAGCAACCCCCAAUUUUUAAGGUUGACCUCGGAUCAGGUAGGGAUACCCGCUGAACUUAAGCAUAUCAAUAAGCGGAGGCU
rnacentral:misc_RNA from 1 species